UACAGAGGUGACAAACGUUGUCCGGAAUUAUUGGGCGUAAAGGGCGCGUAGGUGGUUGAGUAAGUCAGGUGUGAAAGCUCUGGGCUUAACCCAGGAAUUGCAUCUGAUACUGCUCGGCUUGAGUACGGUAGAGGAGGGUGGAAUUCCCAGUGUAGCGGUGAAAUGCGUAGAUAUUGGAAGGAACACCGGUGGCGAAAGCGGCCCUCUGGACCGAAACUGACACUGAAGCGCGAAAGCUAGGGGAGCAAACGGG
rnacentral:rRNA from 1 species